UCUUGAGUUAUGUAACUCUUGUGACUCUUGGGUUAUGUAACUCUUUUGUUAUAAAGUGGGGGUUAUGGUUCCCACAUUAUUGCAAGACAAGACUCUCCUUCCUCCCAUUGAAUCAAGAACAAAAAUACACCAUUGUUGUCUUGCAAAUAAUUGUGGAAAACCACAUACCAAUUUUGAUCAUUGUCAUAUUAUUGUUGUGAGUAAAUUCACAUAUUGUUUAA
rnacentral:lncRNA from 1 species